rnacentral:rRNA from 1 species
UGGGAAAUAUUGGACAAUGGGCGCAAGCCUGAUCCAGCCAUGCCGCGUGAGUGAUGAAGGCCCUAGGGUUGUAAAGCUCUUUCACCGGUGAAGAUAAUGACGGUAACCGGAGAAGAAGCCCCGGCUAACUUCGUGCCAGCAGCCGCGGUAAUACGAAGGGGGCUAGCGUUGUUCGGAUUUACUGGGCGUAAAGCGCACGUAGGCGGACUUUUAAGUCAGGGGUGAAAUCCCGGGGCUCAACCCCGGAACUGCCUUUGAUACUGGAAGUCUUGAGUAUGGUAGAGGUGAGUGGAAUUCCGAGUGUAGAGGUGAAAUUCGUAGAUAUUCGGAGGAACACCAGUGGCGAAGGCGGCUCACUGGACCAUUACUGACGCUGAGGUGCGAAAGCGUGGGGAGCAAACAGG